GUCCCUGUAGCUCAGCUGGAUAGAGCAACGGACUUCUAAUCCGUAGGUCGGGGGUUCGAAUCCCUCCGGGGACG
rnacentral:tRNA from 1 species